rnacentral:rRNA from 1 species
UCAUAUGUACAUGCCUACAAUGUUGAUGCACCAAAUCCCAGUAGAACUCCGUAGUUAAGAACGCUUGGGCUAGAGUAGUACUGGGAUGGGUGACCUCCCGAGAAGUCCUAGUAUUUUACAUGCC